rnacentral:misc_RNA from 1 species
GAUGAAGAACGUAGUGAAAUGCGAUACUUGGUGUGAAUUGCAGAAUCCCGUGAACCAUCGAGUCUUUGAACGCAAGUUGCGCCCGAAGCCACUAGGCCGAGGGCACGCCUGCCUGGGCGUCACACGUCGUUGCCCCCCCAUCUACUCCUUCGGGAUUGCGGGGGGGCGGAUGAUGGCCUCCCGUGCGCCUAGCCGCGCGGUUGGCAUAAAUACCAAGUCCUCGGCGACGCACGCCACGACAAUCGGUGGUUGCGAAACCUCGGUUGCCCGUCGUGUGCGUUCGUCGCACAUCGAGGGCUCGAAAAAAUGCUCGGCUCCGGCUGGGCUUUCAACGCGACCCCAGGUCAGGCGGGGUUACCCGCUGAAUUUAAGCAUAUCAAUAAGCGGAGGA